CAGAGGGAGUCUACAUGAGACGUCUAAGGCUGCGUGUAUUAAGACAACGGCAGUAUUCUGUUCCUGGCCCAAACUCUUUGUGGCAUAUAGAUGGCCACCAUAAGCUCAUCAGGUGGAGAUUUGUUCUCCAUGGUGGGGUGGAUGGAUUCAGUCGUUUGGUGGUCUACCUGACUGUGGCUGGCAAUAAUAGAGCUCAUACAGUCUUACAGAGCUUUAUCGCUGCUGUUGAGCAGUAUGGGCGGCCAUCAAGGGUACGGUCUGAUAAAGGGGGGAGAAUGCAGAUGUAGCAGAAUUCAUGAUCAGAAGCAGAGGUACCGACAGGAAUUCACACAUCACAGGCAGAAGUGUCCACAAUCAGCGAAUAGAGAGGAUGUGGAGAGAUGUUUAUGAACAUACCUUGGACCUCUUCUAUCAGAUCUUCACUUCAUUGGAAGAUCAGGGAACACUGAAUCCAGACAAUGAAGUCCAUCUUUUCACACUGCACCGGA